rnacentral:rRNA from 1 species
GACGAACGCUGGCGGCGUGCUUAACACAUGCAAGUCGAACGGACGGGCCCUGCUUUUGUGGGGUGCUCGAUUGGCGAACGGGUGAGUAACACGUGUGUAACCUGCCCUUAUCUUUGGGAUAACUUCAGGAAACUGGGGCUCAUACCGGAUAGGAGCUCCUGCUGCGUGGGGGGGGUUGGAAAGUUUCGGCGGUUGGGGAUGGACUCGCGGCUUCUCAGCUUCUUGGGGGAGUAGUUGCUUUCCAAGGCUUUGACGGGUAGGCGGCCUGGGAGGGUGACCGGCGACAUUGGGACUGAGAUACGGCCCAGACUCCUACGGGAGGCAGCAGUGGGGAAUAUUGCACAAUGGGCGGAAGCGUGAUGCAGCAGCGCCGCGUGCGGGAUGCCGGCCUUCGGGUUGUGAACCGCUUUCGACUGUGACGAAGCGUGAGUGACGGUACUGGGUAAAGAAGCACCGGCUAACUACGUG